rnacentral:rRNA from 1 species
UACGGGGGGGGCAAGCGUUGUUCGGAAUUACUGGGCGUAAAGGGCUCGUAGGCGGCCAACUAAGUCAGACGUGAAAUCCCUCGGCUUAACCGGGGAACUGCGUCUGAUACUGGAUGGCUUGAGGUUGGGAGAGGGAGUGCGGAAUUCCAGGUGUAGCGGUGAAAUGCGUAGAUAUCUGGAGGAACACCGGUGGCGAAGGCGGCAUCCUGGACCAAUUCUGACGCUGAGGAGCGAAAGCCAGGGGAGCAAAGCGGG